UGGUUCACCAAAACUGUUCUCAGUAUCAUCUCAUGUCAUUUUGUGUCCGAUCUUCAGAAAAAGAUAGCCAUCAUGUUGUUUCGGGAGGCUCUAAAUGAGGUUAGGUGGUCCAGCAUUGAUGUGGACAUGGACUCGGUUUUGGCCAACCAAACCGGUAAUUGGUGACCAUCCACUUAGCGGCGAGGUGAAAGGUCCCUUUUACGGCUAAAAUGACAAUUGGGUUUGAAGUGGGUGAAAUUGUGUUGAGGUCCAAAUUUGGACCACAAACUGACAGCAGGGUAUCCUACGGAUGUAACACAAACGAUCAAAUUCUCAUUGCUAACCAUCAUGAUUGCUUCACCGCCAUAUCAUGCAAGCAUGCAUGUCGAGCGCAGUCGUUGGUUUCCAUGGCGAGAGGAUACGCAAGAUAUUUUAUGUAACUCUGUUUCUAUUUUCAAGCUGUAUUUAAAAAUUUUGUUAAAAAGAUAACAUGGAUUAGUGAGGAAGACAUAUAAAGUUAAAAAUAAUAUAUGAUUACUAAUGAAUUAUUCGACAGUCACAAACAAGAGAUCAUGAAUCACAUCAACGUCUCAAUUGUUUUGGUUAGAUAUUAUUGGAUACAAACCAGGACGGGCACCCAUGAUGGGCAAAACCCGAUCUAUGCCCAUUUGAAAAUGAAUGAGAGGGAAUGAUUAGUAGCAGUCAUUUGCAUGCAUAAUUAAUUAAUCAACACUAAACACUACUUAUAUUCAUAUCAUUCUUGUUACAAAUUAUAAGUUAAUUAAUAAUAACUCAUAUGGAAUCAAAAGUUAACAAGUUCCCAAUCAUCAUCUACAUUCCAACAUAUAAUUAUUAUUAAUUAACACUAAUUAUACAAAAUUCUAGAUCUUAGGUCAGAAAUCCCUCGUUCCUACCAAACCAUGAACUCCCACUUGACAACGAUAUUUAAGCAUGCCAAAUAUACAAUAAUUAUUUAAAUGAUACAUGUAAUAUAAAUAGAUACCAAUAUCAUGAAUACUAAAUAACAUUUAAUCUUCACAAUAUGUUCAUAAUACAUAAUCACAUGAGUCAUAAUUAACAAAUUAAUAACAUAACAACUACAUCAUAAGCCAACAUUUUCUACUAGAUAAGAAACAUAUUUUUUUAAUAAUAUAUUCAAAAAUACUCAAUUAUGCCUUGAUUCAAUUCCCUCAUGAUUCUAUGCCCAGUCCUUUAUAGCCAUCAACCUCCCUUAUGCCGGCCAUAUACAGCAUAUCUGAUAUCAUGGAGACUUGAGAGCUCAGACAAUACAACAAUACAUCCAACAGCUCUCUUCACAAAAUAAGUAUAUUCAUCGUACUCGCAUAUAAUGUCCGAUGUCACUAUGCGAUAAGAUCCCCACUGAUAUUCAAUCAUUAUUUCUUAUAGCCUUAUGGCCAGAAUUUAGAUAAAGUCUUUUUAAGCAAAGACAUCUUCCAAUGCUCAUCAAUGACAUAAUUAUGAUUCUCAAUUAAUUUAAAUAUUCAAUUAACAAUAUUAGUGUGUUCCUUCAUCUCAUGAUUAAGAUCCAUCCUCUAGUUCCUGAUGGGCUCCAAUAGAUGUUGAGUAAGCCUCAAAGAUUUUUUGGUGUGAAUUAUGAUCACCAUUUUGACAUGAUUUAACAAAAAAGAAUGUGAAUACUUUAAUAUUAACGAGUACAACUUAACAUGGUUUCAAGAAUAACACAUGUUAUGCCAUUAACAAAAAUAUUCAUGACAUACUAAAAUAUUAUUAAGAUAUCAUAUGAUACAUUGGCAAUAAAAUUAUGAUUCAACAAAUCACUAAAUACUCAAGGCAGAAAAUAACCGUUAGUUACAGAUUAUAUAAAAUGUAGUAACCACCUAAUUAAUAAGAUUUUUUUCAAUCUCCACAUCGAUUCUCUUCUAACAUAAUAAGGCACAAAUCUCUCUUAUCUAACUCUGCAAAUUUGACACUUAAGUUAUGAUAUAAGUAUAUUUUCUAUACUGUGAUUGCACACACGACCUAUUAAAAAAUGUUGGUUAGAUUGAUCCUUUACUUGUAGGUUAACAAAGAACAAGAGAUAUGCCUAUAUUCUUAUAUAUCUCUUCUAUUUUUUUAUUUAUUUAUUUAUUUUCACUCUUUUCAGAUAUCAAAAGAUAUCACGAGUAAUUCGAGACAAAAGACUGGCCACC
rnacentral:lncRNA from 1 species